UACAGAGGGUGCAAGCGUUAAUCGGAAUUACUGGGCGUAAAGCGUGCGUAGACGGUUAUGUAAGUCAGGUGUGAAAGCCCCGGGCUUAACCUGGGAAUGGCAUUUGGGACUGCAAGGCUUGAGUGCGGCAGAGGAGACUGGAAUUCCUGGUGUAGCAGUGAAAUGCGUAGAUAUCAGGAGGAAUACCGAUGGCGAAGGCAGGUCUCUGGGCUGACACUGACGCUCAUGCACGAAAGCGUGGGGAGCAAACAGG
rnacentral:rRNA from 1 species